GCCAGUGUGGCAUAGUGGUUUGAGAGUUGGACUACAACUCUGGAGACCAGUGUUCAAUUCCCAGCUCUUCUG
rnacentral:tRNA from 1 species